UACAGAGGUCCCAAGCGUUGUUCGGAUUCACUGGGCGUAAAGGGUGCGUAGGCGGCCGGGUAAGUCUGAUGUGAAAUCUCACAGCUUAACUGUGAAACUGCAUUGGAUACUAUCCUGCUCGAGGAAUGGAGGGGAGACUGGAAUACUUGGUGUAGCAGUGAAAUGCGUAGAUAUCAAGUGGAACACCAGUGGCGAAGGCGAGUCUCUGGACAUUUCCUGACGCUGCGGCACGAAAGCCAGGGGAGCAAACGGG
rnacentral:rRNA from 1 species